CAGUCGCCGCGGUAAUACGUAGGUGGCAAGCGUUGUCCGGAAUUAUUGGGCGUAAAGGGCUCGCAGGCGGUUUCCUAAGUCUGAUGUGAAAGCCCCCGGCUCAACCGGGGAGGGUCAUUGGAAACUGGGAAACUUGAGUGCAGAAGAGGAGAGUGGAAUUCCACGUGUAGCGGUGAAAUGCGUAGAGAUGUGGAGGAACACCAGUGGCGAAGGCGACUCUCUGGUCUGUAACUGACGCUGAGGAGCGAAAGCGUGGGGAGCGAACAGGAUUAGAUACCCCCGUAGUCCCUGUCUCUUAUAC
rnacentral:rRNA from 1 species